rnacentral:rRNA from 1 species
GACGAACGCUGGCGGCGUGCUUAACACAUGCAAGUCGAACGGAAAGGCCCUGCUUUUGUGGGGUGCUCGAGUGGCGAACGGGUGAGUAACACGUGAGUAACCUGCCCUUGACUUUGGGAUAACUUCAGGAAACUGGGGCUAAUACCGGAUAGGAGCUCCUGCUGCAUGGUGGGGGUUGGAAAGUUUCGGCGGUUGGGGAUGGACUCGCGGCUUAUCAGCUUGUUGGUGGGGUAGUGGCUUACCAAGGCUUUGACGGGUAGCCGGCCUGAGAGGGUGACCGGCCACAUUGGGACUGAGAUACGGCCCAGACUCCUAUGGGAGGCAGCAGUGGGGAAUAUUGUACAAUGGGCGGAAGCCUGAUGCAGCAACGCCGCGUGCGGGAUGACGGCCUUCGGGUUGUAAACCGCUUUCGCCUGUUACGAAGCGGGAGUGACGGUAAUGGGUAAAGAAGCACCGGCUAACUACGUG